rnacentral:rRNA from 1 species
GAUCCUGGCUCAGGAUGAACGCUAGCUACAGGCUUAACACAUGCAAGUCGAGGGGCAGCAUCAUCAAAGCUUGCUUUGAUGGAUGGCGACCGGCGCACGGGUGAGUAACACGUAUCCAACCUGCCGACAACACUGGGAUAGCCUUUCGAAAGAAAGAUUAAUACCGGAUGGCAUAGUUUUCCCGCAUGGGAUAAUUAUUAAAGAAUUUCGGUUGUCGAUGGGGAUGCGUUCCAUUAGG